rnacentral:rRNA from 1 species
GAUGAACGCUGGCGGCGUGCCUAAUACAUGCAAGUCGAACGGAGGGUAGCAAUACCCUUAGUGGCGAACGGGUGAGUAACGCGUUGGUGACCUGCCCCGAAGUGUGGGAUACCAGGCCGAAAGGCUUGCUAAUACCGCAUGGUCAACUGGGAGACUAGAAACCUGGUUGUAAAGGAGAAAUCCGCUUUGGGAGGGGCCUGCGUCCCAUCAGCUAGUUGGUAAGGUAACGGCUUACCAAGGCGAUGACGGGUAGGGGACCUGAGAGGGUGAUCCCCCACAAUGGAACUGAAACACGGUCCAUACACCUACGGGUGGCUG